ensembl:lncRNA
CCUGAGAACCUGAGUCAUAAAGGAGGAUGCAGUUUUUUUGUUUGUUUUUUUUUGUUUGUUUUUCCUGCAUGGUAGGUUGCCAUACCAUUUAGGAGCCAGAAUUUUUGGGUUAGUGCAAGUGGCCUGGGGUGUGAGUCAGAAGCUAAACCAGUUUGUUGGCUGUUACAGUGUGCACUGCCUCAAAGUGCCUGCCCAUAAACAGUCAAUGAAUAGAGGAGGUAAACAUGGUCUUGCCACUCAGUGCGUGGUAGCACUGCUUAUCGACAUGGCAAGUUAACUUCCAGCAUUGGAAAACAAUCUUGACGUUCCUAAUACAAGGCCAGGCUUAAGUCCUGGUGUUGUUUUUAAACAAUGCCUGGCCAUCAAAGAAGCCUCUCUGAGAACCUUGUACUUGAAGAUGGUGACAAAGGGUGUGUUCUUGUCUCCAAAAUUAACUCUGAUCUGACAGCAAGUCAAGGGUUACAAGAAGGUAAGUUCCAGAUACUGUAAUAAAUUCUUUAUACUAUGUCAGACAUCUUCACUGUUGCUUUGGAGUAUGCCCUGUUGUAAAAUGCAAUUCCAGUUCUGAUAUUAUACGCUUUAAUUUAAUCAAGAUCUUCAGCAAUGUAUGAAUACGACAGUGAGUUUGUCAUGUUAGGGUUACAGUUAACGUAAAAAAGGUAUCUCUGUCUAGGAACAGGAUCGGACAUCCUGGACCAGUUGUUUCUAGUUGUUGUUGUUGUUUUUUACAUACUUCAAUCAUUGUAAAAAUCAUCGA